ACGGCGAGUGAAGCGGGAAGAGCUCAUGUUGUAAAUCUGGAUGAGGGUUCCUCGUCCCGAAUUGUAGUCUAGAGAUGCGUGCUCAGCUACUCUCCAGGGCUAAGUCUGUUUGUGAAAGACAGUGUCAUGGACGGUGAUAACCCGGUUCUUGCCUUGGAUGUUGUAGCGUUUUGAGCCGUCCUCAACGAGUCGAGUUGCUUGGGAUUGCAGCUCUAAGUGGGUGGUAAAUUCCAUCUAAAGCUAAAUAUUGGUGGGAGACCGAUAGCGAACAAGUACCGUGAGGGAAAGAUGAAAAGAACUUUGAAAAGAGAGUUAAAUAGUACCUGAAACUGCUGAAAGGGAAGCGAAUGAAGUCAGUGUUGCUCUUUGUGCUCUGCAUCCUCCCUGCGGGGAUUGUGUAUCGAGGACUUUGAGCUUGUCAGGAUGAGUUCUCUGCCGCGGGAUAUGUUUUGUAUGCUGGAUGCUUUUUGCGGAACAUACAUUCUCUGUCGUGGCUUGGACUGAGGUUCCAUCUUGCCGUUGCCUGUGCGUUCCUCUCCCGUUGCUGUCUCUGUUCUACUGCUUGCAGUGCUCAGUUGCAGUAGUUGGACUGUGCGUAUUAUGCAUGC
rnacentral:rRNA from 1 species